GCCCUCCCCUGGAUUCCCCCUCCCACCCCCUGGUUACGACCUGGACCAUCUUUAACUGGAUGACUGUGCUGUCCCACCCAUCCUUGGGUCUCCCGGCUAGGAUAUGUCCAAUCCAAUCCACCCGCUGCGCUGGCUCCUGAGAGCUCUCAUAAAAUCAAACUCUGCUCAUGCAGCGUCCACCUAAAGGCCCCCAGUAGCUGCCAUUUCCUCGGACCCAAACUCUUCACAGCUGCAGCCAAACUUCCAGAAGCACCUGACUCGCUCGCACAGAUCCUUCCGUCUGGCCAAACCGGAAGUUGUUUUUUCUCCCCUAGGCCAGAGCCUCUGAGUCCCUUGGGCCUUGGCUCCAGCUGUGCGCUCCCCGCCCUGCCUAGACUAUCCAGUGCCCGCCUGGUGCUCUGCAUCCAGAAGGCCCUGGGUGGUAAGCUGCCCUGCUCCCCCUGCACCCAGGCCGGGGCUGGAUUUUGGCUGAGGAAGAUGGAGCCUGGGGUGACCGUCCCUCAGGAUCUCUGACUGUGGGAGUGGCCGGCCCUCGGGCUCCUUCGUCGCACUCCAUCUGGUCCAGCCUCGCCUACAGCAAAACACCCACCAUGCACUAGAGAACAGAAUUUUUGGACUCAGCACUUGGGUUCCAUCAGACACCUAAUUAUCCACCAUAUUAAAUCAAAUAAGGAUGAAUGUACUCAGUUUGAGCUCUUCUUCCAAAAAGAAAACUACCAGGAAUUGGUCCAGAGAAUCUUGGAAUAUUCUUUUGCUUCUCUUAACCGCCAAAGAGCCACUUCGUGACUUCUUUCUCCUUCUCCUCCUCCUCUUCUGCUUCUGCUUUGCUCCAUCAACCUUCCUCUCUGAUGAGCCAGGCCUUGGAUCUGGUUCCCAGGCACCGCUGAGGACGAUGAAGUUUAUGAAAAAACCAGCAGGCAGAGUGUCAUUCGCAGUUUCACCACUUGGUGGCGCCAUUGCCCCACUUUCCAUUUUCGGGCAGUCUGGCGUCCGGAGAGUUCCUACUGUCUUUUGCUAACGGUUU